GGCUCGAAAGCAUGGGUAGCGAACAGGAUUAGAUACCCUGGUAGUCCAUGCCGUAAACGAUGAGUGCUAGGUGUUGGAGGGUUUCCGCCCUUCAGUGCCGGAGCUAACGCAUUAAGCACUCCGCCUGGGGAGUACGACCGCAAGGUUGAAACUCAAAGGAAUUGACGGGGGCCCGCACAAGCGGUGGAGCAUGUGGUUUAAUUCGAAGCUACGCGAAGAACCUUACCAGGUCUUGACAUCUUGCGCUAACCUUAGAGAUAAGGCGUUCCCUUCGGGGACGCAAUGACAGGUGGUGCAUGGUCGUCGUCAGCUCGUGUCGUGAGAUGUUGGGUUAAGUCCCGCAACGAGCGCAACCCUUGUUACUAGUUGCCAGCAUUAAGUUGGGCACUCUAGUGAGACUGCCGGUGACAAACCGGAGGAAGGUGGGGACGACGUCAGAUCAUCAUGCCCCUUAUGACCUGGGCUACACACGUGCUACAAUGGACGGUACAACGAGUCGCAAGCUCGCGAGAGUAAGCUAAUCUCUUAAAGCCGUUCUCAGUUCGGACUGUAGGCUGCAACUCGCCUACACGAAGUCGGAAUCGCUAGUAAUCGCGGAUCAGCAUGCCGCGGUGAAUACGUUCCCGGGCCUUGUACACACCGCCCGUCACACCAUGGGAGUUUGUAACGCCCAAAGUCGGUGGCCUAACCAUUAUGGAGGGAGCCGCCUAA
rnacentral:rRNA from 2 species